ensembl:snoRNA small nucleolar RNA SNORA2/SNORA34 family
CUGGCCCUGAAUCAAGGCCAGCAGCUUCCUGAUGCUGUUGUCAAGCAGGAGCCUAAAGAGAUAACUUUCUAUGGUCUGUUGGCCAUUUCAGAACUUGGGCAGUGAAAUGGUCAAUUCAUUAGAAAGAAACAGCU